rnacentral:rRNA from 1 species
UACAGAGGUCCCAAGCGUUGUUCGGAUUCACUGGGCGUAAAGGGUGCGUAGGUGGUUGGGUAAGUCUGAUGUGAAAUCUCCGAGCUUAACUCGGGAAUGGCAUUGGAUACUAUUCGGCUAGAGGGUUUGAGGGGGGACUGGAAUACUUGGUGUAGCAGUGAAAUGCGUAGAUAUCAAGUGGAACACCAGUGGCGAAGGCGAGUCCCUGGAAAACUCCUGACACUGAGGCACGAAAAGCUAGGGGAGCAAACAGG